AACGAACGCUGGCGGCAUGCCUAACACAUGCAAGUCGAACGAGAUCUUCGGGUCUAGUGGCGCACGGGUGCGUAACGCGUGGGAAUCUGCCCUUUGGUUCGGAAUAACAGUUGGAAACGACUGCUAAUACCGGAUGAUGACGAAAGUCCAAAGAUUUAUCGCCAGAGGAUGAGCCCGCGUAGGAUUAGCUAGUUGGUGUGGUAAAGGCGCACCAAGGCGACGAUCCGUAGCUGGUCUGAGAGGAUGAUCAACAACACUGGUACUGAGACACGGCCCAGACUCCGACGGGAGGCAGCGGUGGGGAAUAUUGGACAAUGGGCGAAAUCCUGAUCCAGCGACGCCGCGUGAGUGAUGCAGGCCUUAGGGUUGUAAAGCUCUUUUACCCGGGAUGAUAAUGACAGUACCGGGAGAAUAAGCUCCGGCUAACUCCGUGCCAGCCGCCGCAGUAA
rnacentral:rRNA from 1 species